AUAAUAAUAACGAAGAAUUGUUAAUAGUUGAAAAACAUGGUGUCGAAUAUUACCUAUACGGAUAUGAUGUAGCUGAUAUACUUGAAAUUAAUCAAAAAGGAACAUGGCAUUCCUCACAAUAAUAACCGAAUGAAAACGCUGCGGUUAACAAGUUUUAGAUAAAGAAUGUUUUGAAGGACUGGAAUGUUUAUUUUUUGAUUCACACCCUAUGCCAUAAGAAGAAGACGCAAUUCCAUAGUACACCUACCACGAAACCAAUUUGACACCCCAAUCGUAAAGCUGCUGUUGCUACUGGAACUUUUUGGAUUCAUAGAUAUAAGCAAACAACAACAAGUACCGAAUAUAAUUCAAACCAGAUACAUAUUUAAUGUAAUUGGAUGUAAAUAGCUUAUACGGUUGGGCAAUGUGUGAAUUUCUACCUUACGGAGGAUUUGAGUGGAUCUCGAAACAAACAUAGAGGUUGUCACCUCAGUAUCGGAUGAUUGACAGGGGAUGUAUGUUAGAAGUGAAUUUAGAAUAUUCUUCAUAUACAGGAUGUCAAUUUGAAACUUCUCCCUACCUUAAUAUAUAUAUUUUGGGCCCCUAUCUUUUCAAUUG